rnacentral:rRNA from 1 species
CAUGGCUGUCGUCAGCUCGUGUCGUGAGAUGUUGGGUUAAGUCCCGCAACGAGCGCAACCCUUGCCACUAGUUGCUACCAUUCAGUUGAGCACUUUAGUGGGACUGCCGGUGACAAACCGGAGGAAGGUGGGGAUGACGUCAAGUCCUCAUGGCCCUUAUGACCAGGGCUUCACACGUCAUACAAUGGUCGGUACAGAGGGUCGCUAACCCGCGAGGGGGUGCCAAUCUCACAAAACCGAUCGUAGUCCGGAUUGCACUCUGCAACUCGAGUGCAUGAAGUCGGAAUCGCUAGUAAUCGCGGAUCA